rnacentral:misc_RNA from 1 species
GCUUGUGGAUGGGCAUAUGGAAUGAAUAUCUUUGAUUUGGAGGAAUGGAAGAGGCAAAAUAUCACUGCGGUGUAUCAUAGAUGGCAGAAGCUGAAUCAUGACAGGUCGUUGUGGAAGUUGGGGACUCUACCACCUGGCCUUAUUACUUUCUGGAAAAGGACUUAUUCUCUUGACCAAUCAUGGCAUGUACUGGGCCUUGGCUAUAACCCCAAUGUCAACCAAAGAGAGAUUGAACGAGCAGCUGUUAUACACUACAAUGGUAAUAUGAAACCAUGGCUUGAGAUAGGCAUAUCCAAGUACCGCAACUACUGGGUGAAGUAUGUGGAUUAUGAUCAUGUGUACUUGCGAGAAUGCAACAUUAAUCCCUAGAAGAGUCCUCUUGGUAUCAAUUCACUAGAGUUCUGCUGCACAUCAUGUGGCCAAACAUUUUU